rnacentral:misc_RNA from 1 species
ACGGCCGCCCACACUGUGGUCAUCAGGACCUCCAAAUUCGCCGCCCACGCCCACAGUCACACACCCAGGAACCAGUUUGUAACGAAAGGGGCGUCGAGUGUCUUUCUGGCUCUCCAUGGCGUAGAUAUAGUCCCACAUCACUGAUAAGCGCCCUGUUCAUCUACCAGGAGCCUGGAACAUCCGGUAAUGACGAGCAGUGACUCACCACACGUGAUGGACUGAUGACAGAAGUGGUGGCAGAGACAAGAU